UUGCUUUUGUUAACAGUCGCUGGGUGGAUGCAACCGCUGCCAGAUGAUCAAUUUAGUUCAUCAAGCUGGACUAGUGCAGAGGUCAAAUGAGCCUUUAGCAACUUUGGCUUCAUACAGGAGAGUGAAGGGGAAGAUUUUAUUUGGAAUAUUGUUGAGAUAUGAGAUUCAGGAUAAGAAGGGGAUGCAAACAGGGUCAUGGCUUCGAGUGGGAGAAGAAAUACAUCCAAAUUCAGAAUAGGCAAUAUUGCAAAACAAGAAAUUGCCUACCUAUAAAGCAGAUACAUAUGAUCCAAUCUCUAGAGCAGUCAAUAUACAUGCAAACCAUUGCAGCAGCUUGGAUAUAUAGUAUACAACUAUUUCGAGUUUUGAAUUAAA